rnacentral:rRNA from 1 species
AUUCCAGCUCCAAUAGCGUAUAUUAAAGUUGUUGCGGUUAAAAAGCUCGUAGUUGGAUCUCGGCGGGCAGGGGGUGGUUCGCUCUUCAGCGCUACUGCCCCGCUUUGCCCGUGUGAUUGGCGGAGGUUUCGGGGUGCUCUUCGUUGAGUGACUCGGAGCGCCGUCAGGUUUACUUUGAAAAAAUUAGAGUGCUCAAAGCAGGCUUUUCACGCUUGAAUAUUCGUGCAUGGAAUAAUGGAAUAGGAACUCGUUUCUAUUUUGUUGGUUUUCGGAAAUCGAGUUAAUGAUUAACAGGGACAAUUGGGGGCAUUAGUAUUCAGACGACAGAGGUGAAAUUCUUGGACCGUCUGAAGACUGACUACUGCGAAAGCAUUUGCCAAGAGUGUUUUCAUUA